CCACAUCAUAUUGAAACACUGAUUCCCAUAUGAUCUCUGAAGUUAAGCAACAUGAAACCUGGUCAGUACCCAGAUGGGUGACCACUUGGGAAUACUAGGUGCUGUAAG
rnacentral:rRNA from 1 species